GUAGUUCACCGUGCAUGAAUAAGGCAUCGUGCACAAAUCUAACUGAAAACUUCGAAUGCACAUGUGUUCUUGGAUGGGCGGGAAAAACCUGCAAUGAAGAUAAACAACCACCAAUUGCUUCGAACUGUUCUAAUAAUAUUCGGGUGAACGCGACAGAAAGGUCUCAAUUUGUCUAUUAGACUGAACCAACAUUCUUUGAUCCUAUGGGUUCAGAGUUGCAUCUCGUCUCAAACUAUGAGACACCUAGCCACACUUUCCCUUGGGGCGAUUUCACGAUCCAUUACUCUGCCACCAAAAUAAAGAACGCCUUAAGAACCGAGUGUGCAUUUAAUAUCAUAGUGAGACCAACACCAUGCGAUUUGCUGCCUGUACCAAAGCACGGAACUAUUCUCUGCAAUGACUGGAGUUCAGAUUAUGGUCAGUUUUGCGUGCUAGCCUGCCAGAGAACGUUCGCACCAAGUCUUCCGGGGAGAUUGGGCACAUGGGUGAUCUGCGGAGAUGACGGAAAAUGGUCCUCUCAACCAUCUGAUUGCUCUUUGCACUUGACAAAUGAGACUAAUAUGUUGCUGUAUCACCCCAACUAUGCUGAGUUUAUGUACGAUCGAUUCAAUGACUAUCCACGAUUCAGGGAGAUAUAUCUGAAUCAUAUGAUAAAACAUAAGGAUAUUUCCCAAUUCUGCAAAAUAUAUCCUGGCUGCGACGGCAGUUCAUCGGUACGGGUGUACAGUGACAGUUGAACACACCUGGAUUUUUUCCGCCGUUCAAGCACAGACAGUAUACAUGACGUCUUAUAUAACCGUCAUGAUAGUAUUAUUGUUGUUCUUAUGAUAAAAAACCGGUUACUUUUUUUAGUAACGGUUAACCGGAAACUGUUUAAAUCAUGAUUGAUAUUCUUAGUCGAAAUUUUGACCAGUUUUUCGCUCUAUCAGAAUUCAUUUUGUUAUAAUUAAUUUACGUCAUCAACGACAAUAAACCUCUGAUGCAAGUUUUCAUGUACAAAGUGAAUUACCGAAAUAAUUUUAUUACAAAACAACACUUAAAAAGUUAUUAAAAUGAUAAAUUGAAGUUUUUUUAUUAACUUGUUUUAGAGAACGACACUUUGCUACGUAAAAAACAUGAUUACCUGUUUUUAAGAUUGUUAUACUAAUGAACAUUAUUAUAAUAUGAUGCUAAUGACAUAUAUAUUAAAUGUUCAUUUCAUUCCGAAUGUAUGCUACCUGUCACCAAUGAUGUUUUAUUUGUUUAGGUGUACAUCUCUUUCAUUUUAUAUGCAUUAUUCGAUUAAUACUCCUCGGAUCAUUAUGUUUAUACUA